UCGGAAGCGACGAGUCGCUCGUCUGACAAGGAAUUUCCAGCGAAUUUCAUAGUAUCCCAAUAUGAUACAGUCUUUGAUUCGUCGUGAAAUCAUAUCAAUAUAACCACAAAUAUUAAAACUGCAUCGUACUGUGCGUACAAUUUAUCAUGAAUACCAAAAAUAAUAAUAUUUAAAAUAUAUAUGGAAAGCACCCCUCUCAUAACCGAGACAACAUUACAAGCGGGACGCGCUAUGGUUGUUAUUUACAUUUUUGUCGAUUUAUUUUGAUUUUCGUUUUUAGAUUUUUCAGCCUAUAUAGUAUACCCUUGUUGUCUACUCUGAUUUGACAAAUAACAAAACAGUUUAUAGUGAAAAUGGAACGGAAGCACGUACGAAGAUGAAGAGCAUUUGGAUGCUUGGGAGGAGGAGGAAGACAGGGAGAAUUUGUAUUCAUCUUCAAAACCGGGCUUUCCUAUACGGAUUCCAGACUUGAACAAAAUUUCAAGCAUUUUAGCCGCAAAUGAGUUUGCAGAUGUGGACGCUGACGACUCGGAAAUACAAGACGCUUCCAUCAAGCUAGGUACCAAAAACCGUUCUAGGUGCAAAGAACCGAUUCAAAAAACUAAAAACCGUUGCAGCCAUCAUGCCAACACACAAUUUCACCCACCGUAGAUAAAAAUACAGCUAACGACAUCUAACCGCCACUGGAAAAGUAGCAAAUGUUAGAACCACAAACAGACGUCACUUGUACACUAGCGCCGCGUGGUAAUCUUUUUGCUAAAAUAUACUUUCUGACGUAGAACUACGUCUCUCAGGAAGUUCGGCUACAUAGGAAUAAAAAAAAAUUAAAACCAAAAAAAGUUUUAAAUAACAAAUCAGUUAGUUUUCGUUGC